rnacentral:rRNA from 1 species
GGUUAAGCGACUAAGCGUACACGGUGGAUGCCCUGGCAGUCAGAGGCGAUGAAGGACGUGCUAAUCUGCGAUAAGCGUCGGUAAGGUGAUAUGAACCGUUAUAACCGGCGAUUUCCGAAUGGGGAAACCCAGUGUGUUUCGACACACUAUCAUUAACUGAAUCCAUAGGUUAAUGAGGCGAACCGGGGGAACUGAAACAUCUAAGUACCCCGAGGAAAAGAAAUCAACCGAGAUUCCCCCAGUAGCGGCGAGCGAACGGGGAGCAGCCCAGAGCCUGAAUCAGUGUGUGUGUUAGUGGAAGCGUCUGGAAAGGCGCGCGAUACAGGGUGACAGC